AUUGACGUUACUCGCAGAAGAAGCACCGGCUAACUCCGUGCCAGCAGCCGCGGUAAUACGGAGGGUGCAAGCGUUAAUCGGAAUUACUGGGCGUAAAGCGCACGCAGGCGGUCUGUCAAGUCGGAUGUGAAAUCCCCGGGCUCAACCUGGGAACUGCAUCCGAAACUGGCAGGCUAGAGUCUUGUAGAGGGGGGUAGAAUUCCAGGUGUAGCGGUGAAAUGCGUAGAGAUCUGGAGGAAUACCGGUGGCGAAGGCGGCCCCCUGGACA
rnacentral:rRNA from 1 species